AACAAUGAACACAAUUGUGUCAGUAUUCAAAGUGUAAGUAGUAGUGAACCUUUGAAAAAAGAAUAUAAAAUCUACAUGGAUUCUCUUCCACAAAAACUAAGGCAUCACAGACGGAUUUCUUUCCCAAAAGCCUACUAAUGAGUUAACCAAAUACUCCCUGGUUACUUGGGGAAUCAAGUAACCAGGGGAGACAGUUCUCUCAGAACGGAACUCUUCUAUGGUGUUUACUUUCAGUUUAAUAUGUAAAUCAGGGAGAAUAAGUGGUGACAUCUGAAUUGAUAACCUCAAGGAAUCUAAAACAGUCCAAAGAUUCAUGGCAGCAAGCUGGUCUUUCCUAUGGGAAAGACAGUCUGAUGAUAGGCAUGAAAAGAAAAGUGUCAGAAUUUGAGGACAUCCAAAUGCCAACGAUUUUAAUCAAGUUAAAAGAUGUUUACCAGAUUCAGCACUAGAAG